rnacentral:lncRNA from 1 species
CAAAUCCCAUCUGAUUCAUACCUCUCCCCUUACUUCUCGGCUGUGGCCUUUAUCUCUUUACCAGCUCCACCACGUGGCUGGAGUCUCUGAAUGUGCUGUGAUUCUGCCGGCUGCCCGAUUGCCGAAUUGUUCAUUUAAUUCAGCUGAGAUUUUUAUCAGUAGACUUCCAGACUCCACCCUAGACAGAACAUGCCGUUCAAUUAAGGGCCUGGUCUCACUGCCGCUCUCUUGCCAAUCAUGAGGACUUAGUACUUGGCCAUACCUUACCCAAAGAUUGCCCAGGACAUGCAGCCUUGCUAUAACUGCUUCCUUACUCAGGAAGAAAGGGAGAGUGGAUUUGGGGGGCAUCUAG